rnacentral:lncRNA from 1 species
AGAAGUGCCUUUUGUUUGUUUACAGUGAGGUCGACCCCACGAGACCGCAGAUGUCAUGCAUGAUAGAUUCAGUGACAGCUGAUCCCUUUGUUUGGGGCUCUACCGUGAAAAAUGGUUUCAUUUCCUAAGUAUCACCUUCAGAAAUUAUUUAGUGCCUUUUCUGUUUAAAUUAUGAAUCUAUUGCAGCAGGGAGAAUGCUCAACAGAAGUUGUCUGUAGGAAGAGGAAACCUUCUCGUAUAUCAGCAGCAUUAACUCAGCAAGCAGCCUCCCCUAGGGUACAACUACACAGCCCAGCGUUGUUCUGUGCAGAGAUAACCACGCCGGCUCACAACAAGCUUUGGAAAUACUGGGAAGCCACCUUCUCCUGUGCAGGAAAAGGAAAGGAGCUGACAGACUCAACACAACAAGCUUCUCUGACCAGCAACAGCAUGGGAGGACUAAAAACCCAGGUAAGUCCGUGACAAUAUAACAGGUACAAUUGCAUUGGCAGGUCAUCUACAGCAUUUGAUCUACACUUGUGCGUGGUCAGAUGCCUGCUUACAAACACCAUCAACUAGAUUUAGAAAUAGCUUUUGAGUGUCCAUCUGGAUUGGCAGGGGGCAUGUUACUAAAUAGACAUAAGUAUUGAACUCUCUAUCUGAAAGAGUUAAAAAUGUUUGCACAUCUUGAAAGUACAGCCAAUAUUAUAAUGAAUUACCUACAUCUUCAGUGUCCACUUUGUCCUCACUGUUCUUCUUUAAAAUCUGGAGCUCUGUUUCUCAAAGUGCUGAAGCAGAUACUUG